AACUGGCAUUACCAGCGGAUAGUCAUAAUGCUACCAUCGUGUAAUAUGAUGUUAUGUUUGUUGGUCUGGGUGACAGCAUAUGGAAAUACGCUGACAAUUAGUUCUACGGUUAAUAGUACGGAAUUCGUUUCUGAACCAUUUACAGGUUAGAUGAUUUUUUUAUCAUACACAAUAGUCCACAUGCAAAGGAACAAUAUCAAAUUUUGUUCCAAUAUAUCUUUCAGUACCUUCAAUAAUGCAUAAGUAAUCAUUACUGCGGACAACAUCAAACCAAGUAGUUUUAGAAAAAGGUAAAUGUCAACCUUUUUUUUCUUAUAUCAUUCGACUUGAUACACAUUAUGUUAAGCUGUUAUAACUAUAUAUAUAUGUCAUUUGUAUGUAUGAGAAAAGACAAAAAUGGUAUGUGUGUUUAAAGUUAUAUGUCUUACAAUACAGUGGCUUGGGCGUCCUAAUUAUCCAUAGAAUUUGAAAUAAUAAUCCAAAUUUGAAAUUUUUAUCGUGAUUUUUUUUAAAAGAAAUAACAUGUGUAAUAAAAAGUAUGGGUCACCGAACUUUUGUUUACGCUACACGUUGUGUGCAAAAUGAUCAGAUAGUGUAUAGAUUAUGCAUGAACAAUUCAAUUGUGUGUGAUCAAAAGAAAACUAUAUAGAACUUUAAGAUAAAAUGUGGGGAGAUACAUUAUAGCUCUUAUAAUAUGCUUUAAGAUAAGAAAAAAGAAAAAUGGGGUCACCGAACUUGUUUUCUUGCUACAUAUUAGAAUAGGUAAAUUCACGACGCUCUCUAUUAUAACAACACUUUAUUUUCUAAUUUCUAUACAUGCUAUAUUCACAUCAAAAUUCUUACACAUAAAUACAAAAUACAGACAAAACUUACAUAUUUCAUCAAAGAUCAAGACCAACUGUUAUCUGUUAAGUUAUUAAUUCCAUAGAUAUACCCAAUAAAAAAAAUUCAAGAAGUUACUGCAAAAAAUGAAUUUAUUAAUUAUCAGAAAUAUAUUUUAUCCUUUCAGAUUAUUCAAUCCAUCUAGAAGAAGAAUGGGAUAUAUUUGUAUUUGUAUUACCCAUUGUCAUAUCCCUUUGUUUAACGUGAUAUUUGAACUAUGAAAUAUUCUGAAUUGAAUUGAAUUGAAAUGAAUUGCGACAUGUACUUUUGCUACGAACAAUAAGUAGUGUGACGAAAUUCUCAUGGACACUUUGGUCGCUUGUUUUUGUCAUUAGUUUAUGAUUUAGUACAUGUAAUGACGAUUGAAAUAACUUUUAAAUUUACCACAACAUUAAUUAUCAUUACUCUGUUUAUUAAGGACUUGCUAUCAAUUCUUCGUGCGAGACUGCUUAUCAAUGUAGAGGCAAACUGGUUUGUACCGAUGGACAAUGCCAAUGCAGCGAGAACUACAUUUGGAAUGGCACACACUGUAUUGAGGGUAAUAAAAAUAUACGUUUAUAUUAAAAGACAUUAAAGUAUUGUUUUGUCAGAAAUAUAACAAAAAAUAUAAGUAAACCAUAUAUAUAAUUACUCAUGCAUACAUAGGUUUUUUUACCUCAUCAUUUACCUUUCUUUUAAAUUGAUUAAUUCUAACCUUAAAGGUUGAUGGUUUGAUAUGUUUAAUUACAAUAAUAAUAUAUUCAUCAUCAAUACCAUGCAGACUGAAACUGUAUAUACUGGACGCCUUAAUGGAAUCAAAUUAAUGGGGACAAAACUUGCUGAUCCUUGUUUCUAACAAUAUGAAUUACGGCAGGGAAAAACUACGGAUUCUUAUUAAAAUAAAAUGAUAAUGAUCAAAAUACCUAUAGCCAAUUUAUGGCAUUUCAAUUGCGAAGUUUACUUAUUACUUACAAGCAUUGUCCAAAUUAAAGCGUAUAUCAGUAAAUGUUAAUAAUUGAACAUGGUUAAUCAAUGCAUAUUAUAUUUGUAGAAAAGACUUUUAAUUCUAAAUGUAAGCUUACUAUAGAGUGUGAUAACACAUUGUUUUGUAUAUAUGGAACCUGUCAAUGUGCACAGAUGCACUACUGGAAUGGGAAUACAUGUGUAACUAGUCAGUUUUAAAUACAUCAGUCCAAAUAUAAUACUUAAUCUGAAAAGCUUUGAAUACAAUGGCGAAAUUUGUCUUACUUUCCAACUGAUAUUUACACAGUUUUUUCUUAUGUAAUGAGUUUAUAUAACCGUCAUAAGCUGGAAGUAUUUUAAUUUUAAUAUUUGUCAGCGCCAAAACAUGGUUAACAAAGCCAAAUGCUGUCUGUACAUGUGUUUGGUUAUCGUAGUCUUAUCGGCAGUCAAACCAUUUCCCAUUUUUUUUUACUCUUAAUACUAUAACACUUUACCUAAGAUUAAGUUUAAUAUGGUUUUGCGUAUGAUGGAAGGCGUGUUUUAUGACACACUUUCUGUUCUUUAAUUACAAAAUACAAAAUUGCUUAAUAUGUAAAUUAGCAUACUUCUAAAAUGCGUUUUUGUAGUUUUGAAUAUUGUCGUUGAUAUUUGGUUACAACAAGUUACAUUUUAGCAGUUACUUAGAACUGAAAAGCCUAUUAAAUUAACUUACAAGAAUUGUUGUACACUCGUUCACUACAAUAUAAUACACCAGUUAUGCCUUACGUUUAUACAGGCGAUCUAAAACACACAUGAAGAACACUGUAUUCUAAAAUUUGAAUUGAAUAUAAUUGUUCAGCUUUCCUUAAGAGACCAACUGACACAGAAAUUAUCAACUCUAUGUCACCGUACAGCUUUCAACAAUGAGAAAAGCCUAUACCACAUAGUCAGAUAUAAAAGGCAAUGCAAUGUCAAAUGUAAAACGAGAAAACUAACUGUCUAAUUUAUGUACAAAAAAACAUAAAGAUGGUCUAUUUGAAUACACAGAACACACCGGUAAUUCUAAACAAAAUUAAGGAUUAAUUUAAUUAAAGGGUAAAACAAAUACUAUUUAUAUAGCUUAAGAACUUAAAAUAAUAUUUCACAGAAAAAACAGCAAAUGACAUAUGUACCAAUACCAUGGAAUGUGGAGGAAAACUUUUAUGCGAAGAUGGGGUUUGUCAAUGUCUCCUCAAUUUAUUUUGGAACGGAAACAAAUGUACAUUCAG
rnacentral:lncRNA from 1 species